rnacentral:rRNA from 1 species
CGUAGAGUUUUGAUCAUGGCUCAGGAUGAACGCUGGCGGCGUGCCCUAAUACAUGCAAGUCGAGCGAACAGAUGAGAAGCUUGCUUCUCUGAUGUUAGCGGCGGACGGGUGAGUAACACGUGGGUAACCUACCUAUAAGACUGGGAUAACUCCGGGAAACCGGGGCUAAUACCGGAUAAUAUUUUGAACCGCAUGGUUCAAUAGUGAAAGACGGUUUCGGCUGUCACUUAUAGAUGGACCCGCGCCGUAUUAGCUAGUUGGUAAGGUAACGGCUUACCAAGGCGACGAUACGUAGCCGACCUGAGAGGGUGAUCGGCCACACUGGAACUGAGACACGGUCCAGACUCCUACGGGAGGCAGCAGUAGGGAAUCUUCCGCAAUGGGCGAAAGCCUGACGGAGCAACGCCGCGUGAGUGAUGAAGGUCUUCGGAUCGUAAAACUCUGUUGUUAGGGAAGAACAAAUUUGUUAGUAACUGAACAAGUCUUGACGGUACCUAACCAGAAAGCCACGGCUAACUACGUGCCAGCAGCCGCGGUAAUACGUAGGUGGCAAGCGUUAUCCGGAAUUAUUGGGCGUAAAGCGCGCGUAGGCGGUUUCUUAAGUCUGAUGUGAAAGCCCACGGCUCAACCGUGGAGGGUCAUUGGAAACUGGGAAACUUGAGUGCAGAAGAGGAGAGUGGAAUUCCAUGUGUAGCGGUGAAAUGCGCAGAGAUAUGGAGGAACACCAGUGGCGAAGGCGGCUCUCUGGUCUGUAACUGACGCUGAUGUGCGAAAGCGUGGGGAUCAAACAGGAUUAGAUACCCUGGUAGUCCACGCCGUAAACGAUGAGUGCUAAGUGUUAGGGGGUUUCCGCCCCUUAGUGCUGCAGCUAACGCAUUAAGCACUCCGCCG